AACGAACGCUGGCGGCAUGCCUAACACAUGCAAGUCGAACGACACCUUCGGGUCUGGUGGCGCUCGGGUGCGUAACGCGGGGGAACCUGCCCUUAGGUUCGGAAUAACUCCCCGAAGGGGGUGCUAAUACCGGAUAAUGUCUUCGGACCACAGAUUUAUCGCCUUUGGAUGGGCCCGCGUUGGAUUAGCUAGUUGGUAGGGUAAAAGCCUACCAAGGCGACGAUCCUUAGCUGGUCUGAGAGGAUGAUCAGCCACACUGGGACUGAGACACGGCUCAGACUCCUACGGGAGGCAGCAGUGGGGAAUAUUGGACAAUGGGCGAAAGUCUGAUCCAGCAAUGCCGUGUGAGUGAUGAAGGUCUUAGGGUUGUAAAGCCCUUUUAACCGGGAUGAUAAUGACAGUACCGGGAGAAUAAGCCCCGGCUAACUCCGUG
rnacentral:rRNA from 1 species